ACGGAAGGCAGCAGUGAGGAAUAUUGGGCAAUGGGCGAAAGCCUGACCCAGCAACGCCGCGUGAGGGAAGAAGGCUUUCGGGUUGUAAACCUCUGUCCUUGGUGACGAACACAAUGACGGUAGCCAAGGAGGAAGCCCCGGCUAACUACGUGCCAGCAGCCGCGAUAAUACGUAGGGGGCGAGCGUUGUCCGGAAUUACUGGGCGUAAAGGGUGCGUAGGUGGUCGACUAAGUUGGAUGUGAAAUCCCCGGGCUUAACUUGGGGUCUGCAUCCAAAACUGGCCGACUAGAGUGCAGGAGAGGAAAGCGGAAUUCCUAGUGUAGCGGUGAAAUGCGUAGAUAUUAGGAGGAACACCAGUGGCGAAGGCGGCUUUCUGGACUGUAACUGACACUGAGGCACGAAAGCGUGGGGAGCAAACAGGAUUAGAUACCCUGGUA
rnacentral:rRNA from 1 species